rnacentral:tRNA from 1 species
GGCGCGGUGGCGGAGUGGUUACGCAGCGGCCUGCAAAGCCGUGUACACCGGUUCGACUCCGGUCCGCGCCUCCA